GGGAGGGUGGUCUAGCUUGGUAUGAUUCUUGGUUUGGGACCAAGGGGUCGGGGGUUCAAAUCCCCCCUCUCCCA
rnacentral:tRNA from 1 species